GACGAACGCUGGCGGCGUGCUUAACACAUGCAAGUCGAACGGAAAGGCCCUGCUUUUGUGGGGUGCUCGAGUGGCGAACGGGUGAGUAACACGUGAGUAACCUGCCCUUGACUUUGGGAUAACUUCAGGAAACUGGGGCUAAUACCGGAUAGGAGCUCCUGCUGCAUGGUGGGGGUUGGAAAGUUUCGGCGGUUGGGGAUGGACUCGCGGCUUAUCAGCUUGUUGGUGGGGUAGUGGCUUACCAAGGCUUUGACGGGUAGCCGGCCUGAGAGGGUGACCGGCCACAUGGGGACUGAGAUACGGCCCAGACUCCUACGGGGGGCAGCGGUGGGAAAUAUUGCAAAGGGGGCGAAAGCCUGAUGCAGAAACGCCGCGUGGGGAAGGACGGCCUUGGGGGUGAAAACCGCUUUCGCCUGUAACAAGGCUGAGGGGACGGAAUGGGGAAAGGAGGCACCGCCAAACUCGGU
rnacentral:rRNA from 1 species